AAAGGAAGCGAUUCCGGCAACGGAUGGCCAUGCGUGACAUUAGCUAGUUGGCGGGGCAACGGCCCACCAAGGCGACGAUGUCUAGGGGUUCUGAGAGGAAGGUCCCCCACACUGGUACUGAGACACGGACCAGACUCCUACGGGAGGCAGCAGUGAGGAAUAUUGGUCAAUGGGCGCGAGCCUGAACCAGCCAAGUCGCGUGAGGGAUGACGGCCCUACGGGUUGUAAACCUCUUUUGUCGGGGAGCAAAUUCCGCCACGCGUGGCGGAGUCGAGAGUACCCGAAGAAAAAGCAUCGGCUAACUCCGUGCCAGCAGCCGCGGUAAUACGGAGGAUGCGAGCGUUAUCCGGAUUUAUUGGGUUUAAAGGGUGCGUAGGCGGACUGUCAAGUCAGCGGUAAAAUACGGGGGCUCAACCUCCGCCCGCCGUUGAAACUGACGGUCUUGAGUGGGCGAGAAGUAUGCGGAAUGCGUGGUGUAGCGGUGAAAUGCAUAGAUAUCACGCAGAACUCCGAUUGCGAAGGCAGCAUACCGGCGCCCAACUGACGCUGAAGCACGAAAGCGUGGGUAUCGAACAGGAUUAGAUACCCUGGUAGUCCACGCAGUAAACGAUGAAUACUAGCUGUCCGGGGCGAAUGAGCCCUGG
rnacentral:rRNA from 1 species